AUGUGAGCUGGCGACCCCAGGUCUAUUUGUUAUCUAUUUUUAUCUGUAUUUCGAUCUAUUUACUUUAUAUAGGCCAGGCUAGAAUAAUUUAAUUUAGUGUCUUUUCUUCUUGCAUAGGUCAGUGCUGUGUGUUUGUAGUUUCCGCUAUUUAUAACUUCUGCUAGUUUUAGUCUUUUUCUGUUAUCUGUGUUUUACUUGUAGAGGAAAAGUAGUUUUAAAAAUAGUUAACUAGCCUUAGAGUUGUUGGCACUGUUUCCAUUUCUUUGUCCCUGAUUAGUUCUACGUAUUUUUGUCUUUAGCGCUUAGGUUAGGUUAGUAGUUAUUUUCUAAUUUCAGUCUAAGUGUAAGUCUAGAAGCUAUAUAGGGUCCCUGUACGAGUUUAGAACAUAAAUAUCUUUCUUCUUCCUUUUUGUAUUUUUGUAAGAUUUAAUUUUUAAGAUUCUCUUUUAUGCUGUUUAAUUUGGUAUAUAAUGUUGUGUAGUCCGUGUCUUUAGUAAUUUUCUAGAUUUUAUUAUAGCGUACGGCUAGGUACAAAUUAGGCGUAUCAGUAGUCCAGUUUAGUUUUAGGUAAUUAGCGUGACGUCAUGCUCUCCGAUAUGUUCGCGCUGACCAGUUAUAGCUAGCUCCAGAACCACGUUGAGCCCUCUUUUGUCUUGACCAGUGGUCAGUGCUGACAGUGGUGCCGGUGUAGAGUUAAUUGUGUGUAGUGUAAUUUCAGCUGGGACCGCCUGCUAUCCUUACUGCAGUACUGCUGUUGUUAGUCUACUGCCUGUAGGCUGUUGUUAGUCUACUGCCUGUAGGCUGUUGUUAGUCUACUGCCAUUAGACUGCCAUUAGUCUGCCAUCGCCUCCUUGUACCUUUUUUUGUUAUAUUUUAUUAAUUCUAAGCUUAGGUCUAGGGUAGUAAUUGUUAGAUAGUUGGUUUGGUUAGUCUGUUAGUGUUUGUAGAUUUAGAGGGUUUUAGUCAGAUGCUGAGUUCAGUUGUAGUGUUAGUGUAGCUCUAUAUGUUAUAUUUUAUUAUUGAUUUAUUUGUGUAUGUAAAUAAAGUUUCUUUUUGUUUUAUUUAUCCUAAAGUAAAA